CGCUGCGUGCUCCGUGCGCGCGGCCCCGCCCUCGAGGCCGCCUGCUCUCCAGCCUCCCGGGCUACCGCCGUGCGUUCCCCGAGGGCGGCCUUUGUUGGUCUUUCUGAAGAAAACGCACACCCAGGAAGGAGAGACUGUAGCGAAACUGAGUUCUGUUAGGCGCGGUCGUCGCGGGCCUGGCAGUGCCGUGCGAGCCAUCGAGAUGUAUUUCCUUUAGGCGUCCACCCAUGGCGGGCACACGGCGCUGCUCUCCUCGGCUGCUCCGUGCAAUGCCGCAGCGAGCGUGGGAGCGAGUGCAGGCAUCUCGCAGACACCGGCUUCAUUUCCUUUGCGUAUUUACCCAGAAGUAGGAUUGCUGAGGCACAUGGUACAACUACAUUUGAAGAUAACAUGAAGAAGCCAGGUGCUUGAAUCUGCAUUCAAAUAAGUUGGGAUUUGAUAGAAGACCAAGUUCCAUUAAAUGCUUACAGACACUCUCUGUAUCUGACUUUAGGGAAGAAAAGGCUGAAUAAGUAUAUUCCCAGGUAUGUAUAAUCACUAUGAAAGCAGUGACUAAAACACAGAGAGAUCCCGUGGUUGUACUGGUGACUCAGAUGUUACGGGUGGCUUUGCCAUUGUCGAUGAGAUUCCCAAAUGGUUGCGUUGACAAUUCAUAGUGAAAAGGGUAAACAAAACAAAACUCAUGAGCUGCAUUGUUAUAAAAUUCGGGGUAUACUAAAAUCAUGCCAAAAAUUUUGUGUUUAUAUGUUAAAUGGAGCUAGGUUUUGAGCUGAAAUCAUUAUUUUUUUCCCCCACCUUCAUGAAUAUCCAUCAGGACAUUACAAAUUAGAGCUGAACUAAGCAUUGUAGAAAAUCUCAUUUCCUGGUCUCUUCCUUUCUAACUGCCCAUCGUGUAUCUCCCACCCCUUCCUCUGACCCCCCAUUAUUGUAACAACUAAAAAUGUCUUCUCAGAUUUUUAGCCCUCUCCUGAGCAGCAGUACUGCUGUGAGGAUCACAGAUGUAUAUUUUUGAUACAGAAAUAUGAGAUAGUUAAUAGAAAUUAGGUUAUAGAAUGGUAUUAUAGUAUGGUAUUAUACAGUUGCCUUUCAUUAUUUUGGAAGUGUUUCUACAUACAUAGGAGAAAUGGAUUGGCAUACUGAAAUGUUAACAGUAGUUAUCCCUGUUGUUGGAAUUUGAGGAAUAAUUUUUUUUUGUUUGAUCUGUAUUUUAAGUUCUUUCUACUUGAGAAAUUUUAAAAUGCAUUCAAGGCAAAAAAAAAAAAAGAAGAAGAAGAAGAAGAAGGUGGUGGUGGUGAGGUCAGGCAGGCACAUCCAUGAGGAUCCUUCUUGGUUCAUAGGGUCAGUCAGACCCCUAAAUCUGUGAGUGAGGACCAGCCCAAGUACCUGGUAUAAGCACUUGCUCAAACUCUGGAGAGAUGCCCCCUCCUUCUGGCACACAAACCACUCUUUGGUGCUCGCUGUUCCUUAGGAAUGGUGAACAGAGCAUUUCCUUCCUUCUUUUGGUCCAGAGUAAGUCAUACUAUGUUUUUGGCUUAAUAGCACAAAAUAGCACAGCAUUUUCUUUAAGAAUAGGAGCCCCCUGAACUCACCCACAUGCCUGCACCAUAAAUCUCAGGUAUAAAUCUCCAAACUAGGAGACUGGGUCCCAAGCUCGGAAAACCAUUUCCCAUCCACGGACCAAAAUCGGGGCAUCAGCAAGAUACAACAAGUCCAUGGGUUGCAUGCUAGAUGCUUGCGGCAGGCCUGGCACCGGGGAGCCUGCCAAGAAAACCAAGGAAGGAUGAUCGGAUAGGAGUACCCCUGUGUUGACAGGUCCCAGAAUUUUCCAAAUGACUGCCCACUGGGAUUUAACCCAACACACUGUCUCCAAUCCAAGCUGCCCGUCUCCAAGACCUCUGUCCUGCCCCGGGCCGUAUGUGUGGAUCCCCAGGCAGGGUGUGGGUGUACCUGACACACACACGUCUCCCAGACCUGAACGCCUGGGCCAAGACCAAGUAUAGUUUCCAGAUGUGGGCCUCACAUCUGGGCCAGCCAUCAGGAGGCCGCUUAUUUGAACAAAGACUGUAAGUACUCAAAGAGCCCCGAGGUCCAGAGAACGCUGCCAAGAGCUGGCGAGCAGAUGAGUGGAGAACAGUCCUUGAUUUAUGGUUCCAGGAGAGGAAGAAAGCCAUGCUUUGUGGUCCUGCACUGAUACGUGUGAAGCAAGGUAUUCGGUCCCCCAGGAGAGGCAGCAGCUUCAUUCACGGGAUUAAACUCAGGGGCUCAGAUUCCAGGAGGAGCAGAAUUCCGGACUGAGCAUAGACUUCCUUUUCAGCAUCCCACCUCGACCUUGCCCCCUUUCCACAUCAUCUCAUAACUCGUAUCCUGCGGAAACACUUUGGGAAUAGAAGACCUUACAGUCUGACAGCUCAGUGGGCACCUUUAGCUCAUCGUCCCCACCAGACACACUUUUAUACAUAACCGUGUACCUUGAGCUUUUUCCCCACUUGAUAGGAGGAACCGAGAUGAAUCAAUCUGUUUGCAGUCAUCUUUGGAGGAGGUCAUCGAGAUUAACGCAACUUGGAGCAGAAUGGGGCCCUCCUCCUACAGAGUGGAGAAGUGCGCUCGGGGCUGAGUUGUGUUGGGCAAAAUUGUGUCUGGUCCCCACCCCCCUUUAUAUGCUAAAGCCCUAACCACCAGUGGCUUGGAAUGUGACUGUAUUUGGAGACAGGGGCUCUAAAAAGGCCAUUACGGUAAAAUGAGGUCAAUAGGAGGGGCUCUAAUCCGUUAUGUUGUAUCCUCAGAAGAAGAGAUUGUGCCAGACACACGCAGAGGGAAGACUAUGCAAGGACACGGGGAGAAGGCAGCCAUCUCUCUACAAGAGAAAGGCCUCAGAAGGAACCUGCCCUGGUGACCCCUGGAUCUCAGGCUUUCAGCCUCCAGGAAUGUGAGAAAAUCUGUUUCGGUUAAGCCAGCCCGUCUGCAGUGGCAGCUGGAACAAACUAAGAUGGAGGGUGGCGGGGGGGGGGGGGGGGGCUCGGCUGUGUUGGUGGGGCUGAGCUGCCUGGCCUAGUGGGGGACCAAGGACCAGGCUGGUGAGGCCGGGCAGCACCAUGAGGAGGCCUGGGUGCAGGUGUGAGCCCCAGGAUGUUUGUAGUUUAUUUUCUAGAUGGUGCUUUCAUUAUCCUCACACUGUCGGGACAGUUCUGUUAAGUGUCACUGCCUGGCCUCUGCUUUGUGUGGAACAUGGAAAAGGUCCUCGCUGAAGGGGCCCGGAGGGCAGUUCUGCCACAGAACCUCAAGUCCAGAAUCAGGAAGGGGCAAGAGCGUGCCCACUGGCAGGGGCAGCCUCCUUAGGGCCUCAGUAUUAGCUGGAGGGUCCUUUGAGAACCAGUUUCCUUCAGUGAUGCUGGUGUACACUUUCACCAUUUUCACUUGGAUUACAGGUAGAAAAGAAAUGUUUCUAGCCAUGCCAACUUUGGGGAAGUGAUUUAAACUCUCUGGUCCUGUUUUUUGACUGUGAAAUAGGGCUAAGCGUCCCUUAUAGAGCAUUAUAAGGAUUAAAUGAGACAACGUAUAGAAAGGCUAUAGAAGUAGAUCUUACUUUCUCUUCUUCACCAAGUGUUUCUUGAGCACCUGCUAUGUGCCAGAUACCAUAUUGUGCUUUGAGAAUAUAAUAGAAAAUAAGAGAAAAAAUUGUCCCUGUCCCACAGAACUUAUAUUGUAGAGAGAGAGCAACUGUAAAGGAAACAGAUGUGAAAAGUGGCUCUCGAAGAAAGAGGAGUCCAGGCUGUUGCAAAGUCAGGCUAAAGAGGGGAAAGGACCUAUGGGCAGGUGCUUGCAUUUCACUCAGCAGACCCCCGUGAGGAGCCUUGGACUAAGGACACAUUGCAAGGGCUGAUGCUUCCUGGAGAAUGGGCUGGAAAAAUCUGCUUGUUGGCCCAGGGAAAUAAUUAGGAAGCUUAUUUAUGCCCAGGAUUCUGAGAGAAGAAAAAAAAAAUGUCUAAAAAUAAAAUGAGUCUGGCGGCUCCUCCAAAUGUUAAACACAGAAUUGCCGUAUGACCCAGCAACUCCACUCGGAGGCAUAGGCUUCAAAACCUUGGAAGAAGGGUCUCGAGCCGGUCCCUGUACAGUGUCCCCAGCAGCUCUGUUCACAACAGCCCAAAGGUGGGAACAGCCCAUCGGCAGAUGACUGAAUCAGCAACGUGUGGUAGACGCACACAUUACUGAACCUUAACACGGAUACGAUCCUAGUACAUGGACAAUGGGAAGGAACCUGGAAGACAUCGUGCUAAGUGACAUGAACCAGACACAAAGGGGCAAAUACUGCAUGAUCGCACUUACACAAGCUACGCACACUAGUCCAGUUCUCAGCAGUAGAAAGUAGAACAGAGGUUAUGGGCGUGGGGGUGGGUGGGGCGUUCCUGUUUACUGGGUCCAGAGUUUCUAUUUGGGAUGAUGAAAAGCUCUGGAAAUGAACAGUGCCCAUGGCUAAUGCUGCUAACUCAUGCACUUUAAAAGAUAAGAAAAAAAUGGAAAAUGUGUAUUUUACCAUGAUCAUGUAUAUUUUACCAUGAUAAAAAGGAAAGAGAAAGUUAUUUGCCCCAGCUAGAAGACCUACGGGGGCUGAGUGCUCAGCCUGGCACCCGGGGGUCCCCCUCUCUCUCGGGAGAGCGCGUGCUGCUCACGGUGGCUGGAAGUUAUGGGAGCCCCGGGACCAACCACAGGAGGAAGACAGCACCACGCCUCUCCUCUUCCGUUUAUUGCUCACCCCUGUUUCUUGCACCUGGGUUUCCUGUCUCCCCGUCUUCCCUCUACAUCAUACUUGCUCUUGUUGGGUUUCAAGGAGUGAGUCACUGAGCCUCUCUGUUGCUGGCAUGUGCCCUAGGGCCAGGCUGUGUGGAAUCCCAUCUCAGCUCUGCCACUUACUGGGGGGCUACUCUGGGGCAGGUCUCUCUAGCUCUCUGCCCCUGUCCCACCUGGGAGAAGGGAUUCAAGCAGGGGUGGUUGUGGAAAUAAAGUGAAAUUGCACAUGGGGUGUGUGCCUGGAGCAGCGGCUGGCACCCGAAGCCUGGGUGGCUGUUUUCUUUGUGAGCGCACUGCAGGGCUGAGGGAGGGUCUGUGGCCAGCAUUCAAGCUUGGUGAACUCUUGGAAUCCUUUUGCAGGAUUCUUAAAGCCCCAGGACUCUUCUAGAAUCCAUCAGAGCCAGGAAGAAAGAAACAUUGCCCAUGCAAAUCCUUACUUACUUGGCGAUGUGGAAUGAUCUCUUCGUUUCUGUGGGACGUGGUUUAUAUGUGACUGGGCUGUGAUCAGUGUCGUCUAAAAAUCACUUGAGGUGUGCUCACAAGGGUCCCCGCGCAUAAUCUAAGGGAGUCUCCUUUCAUUCAGCCGCGCUGCCCCCCGUGGGCAGUCUGCACUCUGCAGCCCAGGUCACUCUGGAGCCCGCAGCGGGGCGGGGAGGCUUGCAGAGGCCUGAUGGUAUUAUGUUUCCCCUGACAUAAGCCCACUCCUGAUUCUGUUCCCUCUGUUCUCUGUGAAUGGAUUUGUGAGAUACUUACAGCACAACUGUUCCCAUGAAAUGAGGCUUAACAAAAAGAAAAGAAAAAGGCAGCAGGCCUCUGAUAACCCAAGGAGACACAGUCCCCAUGUGUGACUCCGGGCAGGUUGUGGAUCUCAACCAGCAAACAGGCUCCUAGA